rnacentral:rRNA from 1 species
CGAACGAUGAUCUCCAGCUUGCUGGGGGGAUUAGUGGCGAACGGGUGAGUAACACGUGAGUAACCUGCCCUUGACUCUGGGAUAAGCCUGGGAAACUGGGUCUAAUACCGGAUAUGACCUUCCAUCGCAUGGUGGUUGGUGGAAAGCUUUUGUGGUUUUGGAUGGACUCGCGGCCUAUCAGCUUGUUGGUGGGGUAAUGGCCUACCAAGGCGACGACGGGUAGCCGGCCUGAGAGGGUGACCGGCCACACUGGGACUGAGACACGGCCCAGACUCCUACGGGAGGCAGCAGUGGGGAAUAUUGCACAAUGGGCGCAAGCCUGAUGCAGCGACGCCGCGUGAGGGAUGACGGCCUUCGGGUUGUAAACCUCUUUCAGUAGGGAAGAAGCGAAAGUGACGGUACCUGCAGAAGAAGCGCCGGCUAACUACGUGCCAGCAGCCGCGGUAAUACGUAGGGCGCAAGCGUUAUCCGGAAUUAUUGGGCGUAAAGAGCUCGUAGGCGGUUUGUCGCGUCUGCCGUGAAAGUCCGGGGCUCAACUCCGGAUCUGCGGUGGGUACGGGCAGACUAGAGUGAUGUAGGGGAGACUGGAAUUCCUGGUGUAGCGGUGAAAUGCGCAGAUAUCAGGAGGAACACCGAUGGCGAAGGCAGGUCUCUGGGCAUUAACUGACGCUGAGGAGCGAAAGCAUGGGGAGCGAACAGGAUUAGAUACCCUGGUAGUCCAUGCCGUAAACGUUGGGCACUAGGUGUGGGGGACAUUCCACGUUUUCCGCGCCGUAGCUAACGCAUUAAGUGCCCCGCCUGGGGAGUAC